CAGGAAACUACAGAAGAAGAAACUGAUUUUCCAGCUAGAAACAACAGGAGCAAACUGAAGUGGUCACAGCACAACUUUGAGAAUUAGAGCAGCCUAACUACAAGAAGAGCUUGGGGGGGAGGUGAUUUGAUCAGCUUGGUGACGGAGGUCCCACUUUCAAUUGACUUCAAAUCAAUAGGUCCCAUUAUAUUCCAGUUUGUAAGCGAAGGAAGGACAAGAGGCAAGAGGAGCUGUCUGCAAAUCAGAACUUCAUGAAAAAAUAUUUUAAAUUGUGAAUGAAUCAGUAGCAACUCACUUACUAAUGUGUCAUGGAGUACCAGAGGCAUGCUAGGCAACUGAGAGAGAAACAAUGGAAACUAUACAAUAAUUUUUGUUGUUCACAAAAGCAAAAUGAAUAACUCAUUAAGAUUUCAGAUUACACUUGGAGAGAACAAAAAAAAUGAAGUAUUUUAACUUCAGGUCAGUGCCUACAGAAAUGGAUAAAUUAAACAAGAAAUGGAUUUGCACUGACAUCUGCAGAUAAUUUCCUUUUUAAAAGUUCUUAAGAGAUCUGCAUGUUCCUAUAUUGAAAUAUUAUUUACAAAUUGAUUUAUGAAAGACACACAUUGAGUACAUUGUGAUAGGGUUUUGCACAUCAGGUAAAAUUUUAGAAGAAAUUAAUGGAAGAGCUGCUGCUAGUGACUAAAAUCAAAUCAGUAUUUCACCUCCACAUGACAUGGUUUGCUUCCUUCCAGCUAGCAUUAAAUAGCAAGCAACAAAUAAAGACACAUUGCAGUG